UACGUAGGGGGCAAGCGUUGUCCGGAAUCAUUGGGCGUAAAGAGCGUGUAGGCGGCCCGAUAAGUCCGCUGUGAAAGUCCAGGGCUCAACCCUGGAAUGCCGGUGGAUACUGUCGGGCUCGAAUCCGGAAGAGGUGAGUGGAAUUCCUGGUGUAGCGGUGAAAUGCGCAGAUAUCAGGAGGAACACCAAUGGCGAAGGCGCUCAUCUGGCCCGAUACUGACGCUGAGGCGCGAAAGCUAGGGGAGCGAACGGG
rnacentral:rRNA from 1 species